AUGCUAUUCAAUAUGGUUGAUGAUACUAGUUUUAUUUCUCAGAUUUUUGUUCAUUAUCAGUAUGAUCUAACACAAACAUGUAAAUUCAUAGCUGGAUUGCAAUAUCACAGCCAUCAAACAUGUAAAUUAAAAGGCAAAAAAAUAAUAAUCCAAGUUUCAAUCUCCAAGGAUAAGGAUUGUAUUUUGACUGCCAUGGAAUUGUAA